ensembl:lincRNA 1500002F19Rik RIKEN cDNA 1500002F19 gene
UCAGGACAUGUUCUCCGCGGGCCCGCGCGCGGCUCCCAGCGGCCCGAGGGGCGGAGAGGCUGCGCGGAGGCGGGGGCCGAGGCUCGGGGACAGGGGCGGAGCGGUCUGGGGACAGCCUCGGGCGCAGAGGACUCCGAAUGGCGGCGGUCAGGACCCUAGAGCUAAAUAAACCCCGCGGCGGCCGCACAACGUCAGGAACUGGACCUCGCUGCUCACCGUCCUGUGAUUGGUCCCGAGGCCUCAGGAGGCGCAGCCAAUAGGCGACCGCCUCUUUCCCGGCGCAGGAGCGGGCCGCGGCCGUGACGUCAGCAGCGUGCGUCCUGAUUGUGAGGCUACGGCGCGCGCGGUCCCGCGACGCGUCCUCCCGGUUUCCUGCCCUGACUUCCUUUGAUGAUGGACUGUGAUGUGGAACAGACUCUGAAAUAAACCCUUUCUUCCCCACGCUGCUUCUGGUCAUCAUGUUUUGUCACGGCAAUGUGCCAACAUUUCCCCCAGCCUCUCCCCAGGAAGAAUAGGCUAUUGGAGUGCACUCACCAGCUUCCUGCAAAAACAUCCUAAAAAUGCCAUCUGGUUCUUUGAGCUCAGUUUAGGCAAGAGAAAUUUCCAGAUCAUUGCCAUGACUGGAAAUACUUAAUGGAUUAAGGGCAGUGACGCAGUCUGGUAAUCCCAUCACUAAACUGGCAGAGGCCAGAAACAAGGUGAUGAAAGGAUCCCCCGGAAAUUGCUGCAACGCGGCACUCACGUUGUGCCGCGGGUGUGGCUCUAAGGCCUACCACCUUCAGAGGUCAACCUGGGAUGAAUAUGGCUACCUACCAAGUGCAAGAGAAUGAAUAACUGGAGUGCCAAGGCUGAGAGAUGAAACACUACCAGGACCAGAAGGAUAAAGCACCGAGAAAUUGUCUAGCGAAGAUUCAGACAUGGAUUUUUGUGAAGGAACAACACCUAAACCCAAGAAGGCAGCUGGGACACUAGAACAGUGGUUCUCAGCCUUCCCAGUGCUGCAGCCAUUUACUACAGUUCCUCAUGUUGUGGUGACCCCCAGCCAUAAAAUGAUUUUCCUUGCUACU